ensembl:lncRNA
UGGGAACGCUGGGUAGGCCUGUGCUCCUUCAGGCAGACAGCCAGAACCUCCUGGACUCCAUUCCACCAGUUCUCUGCUGCCUUGUCUCUUCCCUGAGCAGCACCACCAGCAAAAGCUGGAGGCUCUGUGUGAGCAGAGAGUGAAAAGGCAUCCGAGUGUGACCAGACACCAAUGGAUAAGGAGAUUCCUGGAGCAGAGGUUUGCCUUCAAGCAAGGAGAACUGUGUGAUGUGCAAGACUUCUGGCUCUGCAAGCAGCUCAACAAGGGGUUUGAUGGAUCUUAUCUUAUCUCACCUUGGUGCAUCUCUCUGCUCAAAUCUGAUUCAGCACAUGAAAAGUCCAGCAGCAGACUCCUGCGACCACGCCUGCUUGGAUGCCAGCACUGCCGUGGAGCUCCUGCAAUGUGUAAUCACUGCUCUCAUGCCUCUGGUGCCCAGGGAGCCUUGCACUUACAUGGGCAGGUGGAAACCCUCCCUCAGCAAACACGCCACCAGCUGCAGCAUGUCCCACUGGAGGAGCUGGGCUGACAGACGGAGCAAGGACGACGUCCUGAGCUUUGGCUUGGCUGCUGUAUGGGGAAUAAUUCUUGUGGGCCCCUUUCUGCUUGUGUGAGCGUUUUCGGAGCAUCUUCAGAAGCACCAGCCCUCUCCUCUGUCGUAUUAUUUUUGUUUGUAAAUCCUGGCUGAAGAAGGAUCUCGGCUCAAACAUAAAGCUCCAUCUGACCUGAGCAGCACGGGGCAAAUCUGGGAUCAAGCCUGUGAAGAAAACGGGUUUAUUAGCCUUAUAAAUUGAAUCUGGAGUUCUUGGUGCAAAUAACCUAGUACCCUCCCAAGUGAUUCUGCUUUAAUGAGAAUUGUCAAAGCUGCAGGUCUGACAGAUGUGAUAAAGAUUGGACAACACUAGGGGUGGACAGCCAGGUUCCAGUGUGCUUCUGCCCAGCCUAGAAGAGCUCCCUCAGCAACACCACGGCUUCUCUCCCUACGGAUGGAGGGAAGUUCCCAACAUAUUCUCACAUUCCUCCAGUUAAAAACUUCCCACCCACAGACAUCCCAGAGCAUCCCUUUGGAGAACGAAACACAAAGGGAAUCCAAGAUGAUGCUUGGCUUCCUGCUGCUGAGACAAAUAGUGAGGCUGUUAAACUCUACCAUUGUCCCACGUCCUUUAGAGUGGAAAGAGUUUGUACUCCUUGCUCUAAGAUUUACGCAGCAGUGCUCUCCAACGCCAGGCAGCUGGGAAGUCCCCAUGUGAAACCUCUCCACAAGCUGAUGGGAAGCAGCAAGACCCACACUGCCUUCAUCAUUGUCAUCCCCAUCAAUGGAGCCAACGGGUCAGAAAACUCCCAUCCGUUACACCUAUGGCAUGCCAUCAGCUCGCAGGUGAUGAGGAAAAGCAGAUGCAGUUUUUGAGGGAGGUUGGUACUGCAGCCUCCUACAGCUCUGCAGGCAGGGUGCUUGCUUCCAGCUGACCACGCUCAGGGAGAUGUACUAGGCUACUCGGUGAUUCCUAUUCCUCCUCCUGUUACGUUUUUCUUCCCUACCUGCCUUAACAACACUCUGUUUACGCUAUCUCAGGCCAAGGAUCAAAGUGCUAUUCCCCUCUGCCAAGAGCGAUUUAGCAGUGCCUUCCUUGGACUUGCUUUGUUAUAACUUUUGCAUUGCCCGGGUGCUGAGUUAUUCAUUAUGCGCAGGCUGCAGAGACAAUUGUAUGCGUUCCUCUUCCUGUCUGUGCAAUAUUUUGACAUUUCCCUGUGUCUAUUGGAAUUCAGUCCUGUCUUUAAAUAAAUAUCUUGCUUUCCCA